AGGGAAUAUUGCUCAAUGGGCGAAAGCCUGAAGCAGCAACGCCGCGUGGAGGAUGAAGGUCUUCGGAUUGUAAAGCACUUUAAGUUGGGAGGAAGGGCAGUAAGUUAAUACCUUGCUGUUUUGACGUUACCAACAGAAUAAGCACCGGCUAACUUCGUGCCAGCAGCCGCGGUAAUACGAAGGGUGCAAGCGUUAAUCGGAAUUACUGGGCGUAAAGCGCGCGUAGGUGGUUCGUUAAGUUGGAUGUGAAAGCCCCGGGCUCAACCUGGGAACUGCAUCCAAAACUGGCGAGCUAGAGUAUGGCAGAGGGUGGUGGAAUUUCCUGUGUAGCGGUGAAAUGCGUAGAUAUAGGAAGGAACACCAGUGGCGAAGGCGACCACCUGGACUGAUACUGACACUGAGGUGCGAAAGCGUGGGGAGCAAACA
rnacentral:rRNA from 1 species